AGUGAACGCUGGCGGUAGGCCUAACACAUGCAAGUCGAACGGCAGCACAGUAAGAGCUUGCUCUUACGGGUGGCGAGUGGCGGACGAGUGAGGAAUACAUCGGAAUCUACUUUUUCGUGGGGGAUAACGUAGGGAAACUUACGCUAAUACCGCAUACGACCUACGGGUGAAAGCAGGGGAUCUUCGGACCUUGCGCGAUUGAAUGAGCCGAUGUCGGAUUAGCUAGUUGGCGGGGUAAAGGCCCACCAAGGCGACGAUCCGUAGCUGGUCUGAGAGGAUGAUCAGCCACACUGGAACUGAGACACGGUCCAGACUCCUACGGGAGGCAGCAGUGGGGAAUAUUGGACAUGGGCGCAAGCCUGAUCCAGCCAUACCGCGUGGGUGAAGAAGGCCUUCGGGUUGUAAAGCCCUUUUGUUGGGAAAGAAAAGCAGCAGGUUAAUACCCCGCUGUUCUGACGGUACCCAAAGAAUAAGCACCGGCUAACUUCGUG
rnacentral:rRNA from 1 species